UUUUUUUUUUUUUUUUUUGUUUGUUUUGGUUUUUUGUUUUGUUUUGUUUUUUAAAUAAACUGCAUUGAGAUCCAACAAACUGGAUUGUUAUAAAAAAAAUCAAUAAAAGAAUCUUAAAAGAAGCAUGUUGUGUUUAACUUUGGUAUUUUGAAAGGAGGAUUAAGGGCAAUGGUAUUGAAUAGUCUGGAUUCAAAUAAUACUGGAGUUAUUAGUUAGCAGAGCUGAGAAUCAGCCUGGAGCAGUGCCUUCAUAUAAAUAGACUGGAGAGAAUUCUGAAAUGAUGGAUUCUUUUAGGGCUUAAGUGGAAUUAAGGUUAUUUAUAGGGUCAUAGUAUUAGAGGUCCCCAAGUUAACGGUGUUCAUUAUGUGUUAUUUAAAAGAGCAUUGGGAGGUUGGUAAUAGUGAAGAGUCCUUUAUGGUAAACAUGUCACAGCUGCCACUUUGUCUAGACUAAUUUAGUUGCUGAGACAGAAUCAUUAGCCAAACUGAAUGAAGUUGCUCCAUGGAAUUUGAGAGCCAAGUGUGAGUCAUGUGGUGGCAAUAAAUGUGUGAAAAUAAAGUAUCUUAAAAUAUUUUGAAGUAAAAAAAAUCUUAAAAGACAAAUUAAGAACAGUAUUUUCAGAGAUCAUAAAUUGUAGUUCAGAGAGCCUCGAGAAUCUGCUUUUAAAUUUUCAAAGUGGAACAUUGUGUUUCUUGGAGUUAUUAUGAUUGUGUUUAAGGAAAUAACCAAAGAUACAUCCUUGUAUCUAGAGACAAAUAUUAUAAGUAGUUAUUAGAUUCUUAUGUUCAGUAUUUAAGAAUUUGAGGGCUUUUUAAAGAAGGCCCCUCAGCUCUGAGCACCAUGUAAGUAAAUGUAUAUACCUCCAUAAGGAAUAAAUCAUACUUAGGUAUAAAUUAAAGCAAUUUCUCAUUAACAUUCUUGUCAUCCGAUACUCUUGUCUCGUCUCUAUCCCGCCACCCCUCUGCCAUCAUGUGCCACUUACAGUGAACAGGAAGUGUCGUUAACCUGUCUCCAGGCCAUCGAUUGAAGGAACUGAGGUUCAACUUUUACUUCAGAUAGGAGGUCACUUGCGUCAAUAAAUGUUAAGACCCGUUUUCAUGCUAAGUGAUUCAUGUCUACAUUUGCUUUACAUGUGAAAUAAAACUUACGAUUUGCUGUUUUUAUAAAUAAAGUGGCUCAGGUUA
rnacentral:lncRNA from 1 species